rnacentral:rRNA from 1 species
UACGGAGGGAGCUAGCGUUGUUCGGAAUUACUGGGCGUAAAGCGCACGUAGGCGGCUUUUUAAGUCAGGGGUGAAAUCCCGGGGCUCAACCCCGGAACUGCCCUUGAAACUGGAGAGCUAGAAUCUUGGAGAGGCGAGUGGAAUUCCGAGUGUAGAGGUGAAAUUCGUAGAUAUUCGGAAGACACCAGUGGCGAAGGCGACUCGCUGGACAAGUAUUGACGCUGAGGUGCGAAAGCGUGGGGAGCAAACAGG